CUUACCCGGGGAGAUCUCCCGAAUGAGAGUUUGGGAGAAGUCAGCAGAAGCCGUAGUAGCGAAGAAGCCUUGGAAACCAGGCAGAGCGAAGGGC
rfam:Methylomicrobium album BG8 chromosome, whole genome shotgun sequence.